rnacentral:rRNA from 1 species
CAAAUAUCUGCCCUAUCAACUUUCGAUGGUAGGAUAGUGGCCUACCAUGGUUUGGACGGGUAACGGGGAAUAAGGGUUCGAUUCCGGAGAGGGAGCCUGAGAAACGGCUACCACAUCCAAGGAAGGCAGCAGGCGCGCAAAUUACCCAAUCCCAAUUCGGGGAGGUAGUGACAAUAAAUAACAAUAUAGGGCUCUUUUGGGUCUUAUAAUUGGAAUGAGUACAAUUUAAAUCACUUAACGAGGAACAAUUGGAGGGCAAGUCUGGUGCCAGCAGCCGCGGUAAAUUCCAGCUCCAAUAGCGUAUAUUAAAGUUGUUGCAGUUAAAAAGCUCGUAGUUGAAAUUUGGGCCUGGACGGGCGGUCCGCCGCAAGGCGUUGUACUGUCUGGCUGGGUCUUUCCUCUUGGGUGAAUCGGCGGUGUCCUUUUCCACUUGGGUUGGCGUCGGGGAACCAGGACAUUUACCUUUGGAGAACAAUUCAG